GGUCUCGCCCUGUCGCUCAGGCUGGAGUGCAGGGAUGCAAACAUGGCUGACUGCAGCCUCGACUUCCUUGGCAGGAAUUUUUCAGCUCCAUGGUCAUCUUAUGGGACCACCAUAGUGUAUGCAGCGCCUGAUGGUAUUUAGAAGGGAGGCGGAGAGGAGUGAAACGGCUGGAUGCGCCUUUGCCUCAGCAUUAUCUUCUCAGAUGGUUCAGUUCAGAAUCCAAACUUGGAAACUCUACUCAGAAAAGGAAAAGCCCUCCAGUUACAGAGUCCUUCUUUCCCCAGAAGGCAGCCUAGUGAUGCUUGGUACUGCUCCGCCCCACCUUCAUCCCCACAGUUGGACAAAGUGCUCCUUCCAAUCUCUGGGGAGUGUGAUUUGCUCCAUCUUGUCAUAUUUCCAGGUUGCUGCCCCGGUCAGCUUCCUGGCUGGGCUACCACCUGUGGGGCUCCGAUCUGCACCAUGUAUAAGAGUAAGAGGCUUCGUCUCGUUUAAUCAUCAGAGCACUCCUCCUUCUACCCCAUCUCAGGGUUGAGGAAGACAGGCUUGGAGAGGUUCAGCCUUCCCAAGUCCCAGUCUGCAGCUCAUUCAAAGAAAAAUGACUUUAGCUUGGCCUGUGAGAAAGGUCAGGACAUUACACUGUCGGAAAUGUCUACGUGCUUGAAAAGAACCAGGAGUCCUCUGAAUACGUAGCUCCCCCAGCGCCUUCACAGUGGGGUGUUUCACCCAUUUCGUGGAGUCCAAAUUCUGGAGCUGGGAAGUUCAAGGCUGAGGAGCUGCAUCUGGUGAGGGUCUUCUUGCUGGUGGCCUUCUUCUGCAGAGUCCUGAGGUGCUGCAGGGGAUCUUGUGGCAGAGGUAGGAGCAAGAGUCAAGCUGGCUUUUUAAUGACCGACCGCCAUGAUAACCCAAGAACCUAUUAAUACACGAAUGGCCCUCAUGAUCCAGUCCCUUUUUAAAGGCCCCACCUCUCAAUGCUGCCAUAUUAGGAAUUAAGUUUUAAGAUGAAUUUCAAAGGAGACAAACCUUCAAACCAUAGCAAAGUUAAGCUUUUUUGAAGGGACAAGAUUAAUCAUAAUUUUUAUUCUAUUUGUGUGCAUGUGUGUCCUUUUUAGAGAUGGGUCUCACUCUGUCCUCUAGGCUGGAGUGCAGUGGCUCAAUCAUAGUUCACUGCAGCCUUGAACUCCUGGGCUCAAGUGAUCCUCUUACUUCAACCUCCUGAGUACCUGGGACUACAGAUGUGUGCCAAUGCACUCAGCUAAUUGUUUUCUAUUUUUUUAGAGGUGGGGUCUCACUAUGUUGCCCAGGCUAGUUUUGAACUCCUGGCCUCAAGCAAUCCUCCCAUCUCAGCCUCCCAAAGCAGUGGAAUUACAGGAGUGAGCCACCAUGCCUGGCAAAGAAGGUGUACGAACAUACACACACUGGAGUCUUUCUUCUUCUCUUGCCCCUCAGUGGGUGACCCAGUUCCCAUCCUGGCAGGCAAAUCACAUUCCCAGUGUCUGUCUCCUUCCACAGAUGAUACAAGGGGAGUGUUUAAUGGUGUCUCCUGCAUCUGUAGCUGGAUAGUUUGAUCGGUGGGUGUGUCUGAUUGUGUCACUCUCUUGCCUAGAAACUGCGGAAGGGUCUUGGAAGGCCAACUAAGAUCUUGCUUGGCCCACAGGAUCUAGUGCUCUGGCCCGGCCCACCUCACAGCCUCACCUGGUUCUACUCUCUGGCUUGGAGAGACCCCACCACAAUGGCCUCCCUCCAGCCUCCGCACAGACCCUUGGAUGUGCCAUUCCCUCUCUCUGGAAGGCUUUUGCUCCCUUACCCCAUCAGCUUCUCAUCAUCCUGCAUGUCUUGGCUCCCAGCCCCUUUUCCUCUGGGAAGUGGUCCCCAAAUCCCAGGCAGGGUCCUAUCACCUGGUAACACCCCUCUCAGGGACAGUGUAUUCGCUGUCUGCUCCAGGAGGGAGGAACCUCUUCUAAUGUGGGCACCAAGCACCGUGCUUGGUGCAUAAUUGGCUUUCAGUAAACAUUUGUGGAGAGAGCAAAUGCACUCAUGAAUCCCUCACAUCACAGAAGGCGGGGCCAGAGCCAGGGUGGAGGUGGGAGUAGAGGAACUCCGGGGCUGGCUGCUGAGGAAGGUUCUCUCUGAUGGUGCAGCAAUAGCAGGUCAAGCCCAGGGUCAAGAUAAGGAGCCAAACGUCCCAAAGGUCGUAGGUGGUCAGUGAUGGGGCCAGCUGGAUGUUGCCAGUGGGUAACGCUCCUGCUCUGCCAGGUCUGAGGCUCAGAGUUCCCAAAGGAGCAAGCAAGUUCCUAGGAGAGGAAGAGGAGAACCAGACUAGGCAUCCGGUCAGGAACAAGGGACCCUACAAAAUGAGGUGGGAGACUUGGGGCUGGGGUGCGGGGGUUGCUCCGGAUAAUGACAGAAUGGAUGUGCAGAGGCCUGGCCAUCAGCCAGGGUCCUGCACUGGAGAUGUCCCAUGGAGAAGGCAGGGCCAAGGCCCAGCAAGGCUAAUACAAUUCUCUCUCCAAUGUCUGGAGCCAGCUUAGGCCACAGAAGGUAUAGACCAUGACAUUGACCCAACUAAGUCCUACAGUGUCCGCUGGGCCAGGAAAGGUUGUUUAAGGGAUGAACAGGACAAUCUCUGCAAGCAAAAAAGUUUCACAUUUUUGGCCUAAGGCCAGAGGGAAAAGCAAAGUUCACCAACAACAGCCCCAUGAUCCCUCCCCACCUCCCACCUGAAGUGAGAGGCAGGGUGAAGCCCAGCAAAGCUUUCUGCACUGAGUGACUGCAGGGGGCAAAGGAUAUUCAUGGAGAAAAGAAAGAAAAACCCCAACAGGGAUUUUCUUCAGUGC